rnacentral:rRNA from 1 species
AGAGUUUGAUCCUGGCUCAGGACGAACGCUGGCGGCGUGCUUAACACAUGCAAGUCGAACGGAAAGGCCCUUUCGGGGGUACUCGAGUGGCGAACGGGUGAGUAACACGUGGGUGAUCUGCCCUGCACUUCGGGAUAAGCUUGGGAAACUGGGUCUAAUACCGGAUAGGACUACGCACUGCAUGGUGUGUGGUGGAAAGCUUUUGCGGUGUGGGAUGGGCCCGCGGCCUAUCAGCUUGUUGGUGGGGUGAUGGCCUACCAAGGCGACAACGGGUAGCCGGCCUGAGAGGGUGUCCGGCCACACUGGGACUGAGAUACGGCCCAGACUCCUACGGGAGGCAGCAGUGGGGAAUAUUGCACAAUGGGCGCAAGCCUGAUGCAGCGACGCCGCGUGGGGGAUGACGGCCUUCGGGUUGUAAACCUCUUUCACCAUCGGCGAAGCCCAUAGCUUUUGUUGUGGGUGACGGUAGGUGGAGAAGAAGCACCGGCCAACUACGUGCCAGCAGCCGCGGUAAUACGUAAGGUGCGAGCGUUGUCCGGAAUUACUGGGCGUAAAGAGCUCGUAGGUGGUUUGUCGCGUUGUCCGUGAAAUUCCCUGGCUUAACUGGGGGCGUGCGGGCGAUACGGGCAGACUAGAGUACUGCAGGGGAGACUGGAAUUCCUGGUGUAGCGGUGGAAUGCGCAGAUAUCAGAGGAACACCGGUGGCGAAGGCGGGUCUCUGGGCAGUAACUGACGCUGA